CGCCCUGCUCAUCCACUCUACACCUGUGCACUUACUGUGGGUUUCAAUGCGUGGAAUGAGGCCUUUACGGGCUCGUGAAGCGGGUUGUGCCUGCGUUUAUUACAAACACUAUAAAGUAUAAGAACGUGUAUUGCGAUGUAACGCAUCUAUAUACAACUUUCAGCAACGGAUCUCUUGGCUCUCGCAUCGAUGAAGAACGCAGCGAAAUGCGAUAAGUAAUGUGAAUUGCAGAAUUCAGUGAAUCAUCGAAUCUUUGAACGCACCUUGCGCUCCUUGGUAUUCCGAGGAGCAUGCCUGUUUGAGUGUCAUGAAAUCUUCAAUCUACAAACCUUUGCGGGUUUUGCAGAUUUGGACUUGGAGGCUUGUCGGCCUGGUCGGCUCCUCUUAAAUGCAUUAGCUUGGUUCCUUGCGGAUCGGCUUACGGUGUGAUAAUUGUCUACGCCGCGACCGUGAAGCGUUUGGCGAGCUUCUAAUCGUCUCGUUGGAGACAUCUUAUUGACCUCUGACCUCAAAUCAGGUAGGACUACCCGCUGAACUUAAGCAUAUC
rnacentral:rRNA from 1 species